UGACUAAGCUGACGUAUGCAGAAACCCCACUGCCAGCUCUAUAGAAGCAAGGCCACAGAGCCACCCAGUUCCAAUGACACUGCAAAGGGCCUGGCAGGUGGAGACCAAACAAGAGCCAUUUCACUAACAGGAAGAUCCCCCAGGAUGCAGUCCAGACUCCCCACUCUAUUGUGCACAGUGGUGGCCUUCAUCAGCUUUGGUUCCAGCAAUACACAGAGCGUCACUCAAUAUCCAAGUUCAGUGCAUAAACAAGAGGGAGAAUCUGCGAAUUUGUUCUGCCGUUUCACACUCAGCUAUACUUACUAUGUGAUGAGCUGGUUUCAACAGCCUUCCAAUGGAAAGAUGACUGAAAUCAUUUAUCUUUAUUCUGGUAGCACAAACACUAAGAAAGGACGAUAUUCUGUGUCAUAUCAGGCAAGAGACAAAGCUCUAAGGCUCACCAUCACAGGCUUGAUGCCUACAGACUCAGGCGUCUAUUUCUGUGCUGUUGGAGAAGCUGCACGGUGAGAGGAAUGACAGGG